CGGGGUCUCGCACAGGCUCCAGGCCCUUGGGGUCCCGGAGGGUCCAGCAGAAGGGUCUGUGUUUUGCCCGGGGUCCUGAGAGCGUGCUGGGGAUAGCAGGGGUGGAGUGCAGGUGUGCCCAUGGGCGCCCCGGGUCCAGGGCCCGCGGAGCCGCUCUCGGGGCGGAGACCUUGCCCCCAGGGGCACGUCAGCGGUCCUGAGGUGAGGCUCCUGCAGAGCACUCUGGGCCGCGUGUGUCUCUCCCUGCGUGGGCAGGCAGUGUCGGUGGCCGGAGCGAGGGUGUUUUCCCAUCGGGGUGAGAGGGAGAGCCCCAGGGUGGGCCUGGGGGCGGAAUCGGACUCGGGGUUGGGGUGGACUCUUCUGAAGCUGGGAGGGGUGCGGGUGGGCAGGGCCUUAGGGAGCCUGAGGGAGGCGCGGUUCCUGGGGAAGGGUGUGGCGAGGCGGCGGCAGCCCGCGUCGCGCUGUGGCGCCCCAGCGAAGGGGCAGUGCUGGCCACUCGUGUGGCCCUUUGGCUGCUGGCACCCAGUGAGAGGGGGAGGCCAGGGACAGGUGGCAGCCAGGCUGCCCACAGGCCCUGGGCGGUGGGGGCCCGGCCCCUGUGCCUUGGGCAGCCUGGCCCUUGCUGAGGCGUGCUUGCGCGUGUCCGUUGUCGCCCUCACCCAGCUGCUGCGGCGGAGAGACGGAGGCCAGCGCGGGGAGCGGAAGCCGGAGCCUGUCGGGAGCGACCCCGGGAAGGCCAGUCCCUCCUGCCGGUGGGAGGCGUGUUGGCGUGCGGCCGGUGGCGGGAUCGAUGGCCACCUGGUAGGCGAUGCUGCUGCGGCGGAGAGACGGAGGCCAGCGCGGGGAGCGGAAGCCGGAGCCUGUCGGGAGCGACCCCGGGAAGGCCAGUCCCUCCUGCCGGUGGGAGGCGUGUUGGCGUGCGGCCGGUGGCGGGAUCGAUGGCCACCUGGUAGGCGAUGGUAAGCGGCAGUGGCCUGCGCCAAGGUAGCCCCCGGGGGCGGUGUGUGGCGCCCGGACCCGCACCCUCUGCUCCCGGGGGUGGAGCUGACCUGCUUGCCCGCGGUUGGGCUCGGGAGCCUGCGGGCCGCGGCCAGGAGGGAGCUGGCUGGCCGUCCCGGCGGUGGGGGCUGUGGCGGUGGCCGUCCCGCGGGUGUGCCCGUGCUCGGAUCGAUGAUGACACCCACAAACGCAUUCCUUGGAAAAUCUGAACAAAAUGAGUGAGAACUCACUACCGUCUCCUCAUCGCAAACUGAGGUCCGGCACGUGGCUCCCACAGGGGCCGUCGGGGGAGGGUCCCGUUGCCUUGGCUCCCUUGGGUGCGUGCAGCCCUGGGGCGCAGGUGGGAGGCAGGCAGGCCUCCGGUGGCCC
rnacentral:lncRNA from 1 species